CUGGCAGUCAUUCACUGUCCGAGUUGUAAAUUGAAGAGAGUGUCAUCCACACUGGACCAUGUCUAAAUUGUAAUGAUCCACAGUCCUUUGAUGGAGUAUCAGAGAGGGUAAUAAUCCCGUCUUUAACGUGGACUCCCAGUGUUUAUGUGAUGCAUUCUCUCAGAGUCGAGUAGUUUGGGAAUGCUGCUCUAAUGGGAGGUAAACUCCUUCUAAAGCUAAAUAUUGGCGAGAGACCGAUAGCGAACAAGUACCGUGAGGGAAAGAUGAAAAGAACUCUGAAAAGAGAGUCAAACAGAACGUGAAAUUGCUGAAAGGGAAGCGUUUGGAGUCAGAUGCGUCUUCAUGGAAUAACGACUCAGUUAGCAGAGACUGAGGUCAGUGACUUGAAGAUGGGCCAGCACUCACGUAGACCAUUGAAAAAGGGGUCAUUGGAAUGUAGCUCAAUUUAUUGAGUGAUUAUAGCCUUGAUUCAUAUACAAUGUGUGUUAUGUGAAAUUGACAGCACGACUUCA
rnacentral:rRNA from 1 species